rnacentral:rRNA from 1 species
UACGAAGGGGGCUAGCGUUGCUCGGAAUCACUGGGCGUAAAGCGCACGUAGGCGGAUUGCUAAGUCAGGGGUGAAAUCCUGGGAGCUCAACUCCAGAACUGCCUUUGAUACUGGGAAGCUCGAGUCCGGAAGAGGUGAGUGGAACUCCGAGUGUAGAGGUGAAAUUCGUAGAUAUUCGGAAAGAACACCAGUGGCGAAGGCGGCUCACUGGUCCACUACUGACGCUGAGGAACGAAAGCUAGGGGAGCAAACAGG